rnacentral:tRNA from 1 species
GCGAUAGUAGCUCAGUUGGUAGAGCGUUGGCUUCCCAAGCCUAAGUUCGCGGGAUCGUGCCCCGUCUAUCGCU